rnacentral:rRNA from 1 species
UACGUAGGGUGCGAGCGUUAAUCGGAAUUACUGGGCGUAAAGCGUGCGCAGGCGGUUAUAUAAGACAGUUGUGAAAUCCCCGGGCUCAACCUGGGAAUUGCAUCUGUGACUGUAUAGCUAGAGUACGGUAGAGGGGGAUGGAAUUCCGCGUGUAGCAGUGAAAUGCGUAGAUAUGCGGAGGAACACCGAUGGCGAAGGCAAUCCCCUGGACCUGUACUGACGCUCAUGGACGAAAGCGUGGGGAGCAAACAGG